AGUGAACGCUGGCGGCGUGCUUAACACAUGCAAGUCGAACGAGAACGGAUUAUAGCUUGCUAUAAUUGUCAGCUAAGUGGCGCACGGGUGAGUAAUGUAUAGGUAAUAUGCCUCUUACUAAGGGAUAACAAAUGGAAACGUUUGCUAAUACCUUAUACUCCUUAUUAACCUAAGUUAAUAAGGGAAAGAUUUAUUGGUAAGAGAUUAGCCUGUAUUGUAUCAGUUAGUUGGUGGGGUAAUGGCUUACCAAGACUAUGACACAUAACUGGUUUGAGAGGAUGAUCAGUCACACUGGAACUGAGACACGGUCCAGACUCCUACGGGAGGCAGCAGUGGGGAAUAUUGCACAAUGGACGAAAGUCUGAUGCAGCAACGCCGCGUGGAGGAUGACACAUUUCGGUGCGUAAACUCCUUUUAUAUGAGAAGAUAAUGACGGUAUUAUAUGAAUAAGCACCGGCUAACUCCGUGCCAGCCGCCGCUGUAAAAC
rnacentral:rRNA from 1 species